rnacentral:lncRNA from 1 species
AUCAGAUAUAUACAUAUUUAGAUAUGUUUUUUCUCUUUAAUAUGCAUUUCUUAAAAGAAACUUUGAGAUCCCAUUGAAAAAAAACAAGGCUAGCCUUUUUCAGGGGUCUAUUUUUUUCUCCACUUGACUGUAUAUUUUUUUUUUAUAUCCGGUUAAUUCUCGUAGGAAUCAAUGAGAUCACAGGUUUCGAUAAGUUCAAAGAACGUUUCUAUUGCUCGCUGAUUACUUAUUUGUUGAUAGAUACAAGUAUCUCACGCUUGAUGCGGACUUACUUAAAAUCUUCGGUCAGAAUAACUUGUUGAUAGUUAACAUGUUGUCUAUUAUUUCAUCCACAUUAUUAUAAAAUGUUUUGGAACCUUUAUUUGGUCGAUAAUUAAUAUGUGUUAUUCUUUUACCUUCAAUCGCAAUGUUUGCACAUAGGAACAUUCUUAUUUUCAAAAUUAUUUAUUUUAUAUAUGAAAGAGAGAAAUUAAAGCAUUAACAAAAAAUACUGAAACUCAAGGUCGCAAAGGGAGAAGCAAAUAUGUUAUAUAUUUUGGAUUUGUGUAAAAAUCAGGGUGGAGCGAUAUUUUUUCCAGGUGUUUAUUAUAAGUUACAAGAAUUGGAGAUAAUAUAUCAACAAUCAUGAUUAUUUAAGCCUUUUAUUUAAUACAGGAUGUAAGUAUAAUUACUUUGUGUUCCUCCAUCAUGGUGCUAGGUUCAGCUUUUACAUCUUUAAAUUGUACAUUUUUUUAGUAAAACGUAUUGUAUGUUUUUUCAUUUUUUCUUGAAAGCAAAUUGACUUUCAAUUUUCAUGUGAUUAAAAUGUGCUGCGUUGUUCAGAGUAUGUUUUAUUAUAUUAUGUAUACAUUUUUAGUAUAAGUAUUUUUUGAAAUGGAAAAAUAUCUUAGUGUGAUUCGAAG